rnacentral:rRNA from 1 species
GACGAACGCUGGCGGCGUGCUUAACACAUGCAAGUCGAACGGAAAGGCCCUGCUUUUGUGGGGUGCUCGAGUGGCGAACGGGUGAGUAACACGUGAGUAGCCUGCCCUUGACUUUGGGAUAACUUCAGGAAACUGGGGCUAAUACCGGAUAGGAGCUCCUGCUGCAUGGUGGGGGUUGGAAAGUUUCGGCGGUUGGGGAUGGACUCGCGGCUUAUCAGCUUGUUGGUGGGGUAGUGGCUUACCAAGGCUUUGACGGGUAGCCGGCCUGAGAGGGUGACCGGCCACAUUGGGACUGAGAUACGGCCCAGACUCCUACGGGAGGCAGCAGUGGGGAAUAUUGCACAAUGAGCGGAAGCCUGAUGCAGCAACGCCGCGUGCGGGAUGACGGCCUUCGGGUUGUAAACCGCUUUCGCCUGUGACGAAGCGUGAGUGACGGUAAUGGGUAAAGAAGCACCGGCUAACUACGUG